rnacentral:rRNA from 1 species
UCCUGGCUCAGGAUGAACGCUGGCGGCGUGCUUAACACAUGCAAGUCGAACGAAGCACUCUAUUUGAUUUUCUUCGGAAAUGAAGAUUUUGUGACUGAGUGGCGGACGGGUGAGUAACGCGUGGGUAACCUGCCUCAUACAGGGGGAUAACAGUUGGAAACGACUGCUAAUACCGCAUAAGCGCACAGGAUCGCAUGAUCUGGUGUGAAAAACUCCGGUGGUAUGAGAUGGACCCGCGUCUGAUUAGCCAGUUGGCAGGGUAAUGGCCUACCAAAGCGACGAUCAGUAGCCGACCUGAGAGGGUGACCGGCCACAUUGGGACUGAGGCACGGCCCAAACUCCUACGGGAGGCAGCAGUGGGGAAUAUUGCACAAUGGGGGAAACCCUGAUGCAGCGACGCCGCGUGAGCGAAGA